rnacentral:rRNA from 1 species
AUGAACCCUGUUCGUGACGUUUCAAGCAGGGUGCCCUCUUCCAGACUUGUUCUCGAAUAUGAAACCACAGGUCCAAGUGAGCACGCGCAGAGCAAAACGAUUGCAUGCAUAUCCAAUCGCACCGCUGUGCAACUACGUAUGUACGUACUGUUAACAGCACUCUUCUCACAGAGAUCUAUUCCUCAUCAAUUAGAACUACAAGCCAUGGAUUCACCAAGGUCUAGCCAUUACAGAGGAGAGGAACACGAGAGGGAGGAGAUACACACAAAAUUUCCCCACCGUAAUCGAUCUCCAGCCAUGUCACGGGGAUCAGCUUGGGCUGGCCGCCCUGAUCGAGUGUUCACGUCGGUGGAGGACCCGCAGCAGCGACGCCUCGCCGAGUGGAUGGACCAAGACAAGCAGGCGCGGCGUCGCGCCGAGUUUGGCAUCCGUAUUGCAGCCAUCGCGGCGCAGGUGGCUUCCGAGGUGUCGGCGGCGGUAGCAUCGGAGGUGUCGGCUGCCGUUGCCGCGGCGCUACAGUCUGCGCGGGCGGGGCACCACGAGUACCUCGACCUUGAGUCGACGACCACAUCGACCCCAACUGCUCCAGUGGCGGACGACCUCGCCUCUCCCACCGCAGCAUCAAAUUUGUCCGAGGUCAUCGUCGGUGUCGUCACCGAGUGUGGCUGCACCGACCUCGAGCCCACGGCCGCGACCUUAACUCUGACCUCCGCACUGGACAUCUCGGGCGCCUGUUCAGCGAUGAACUCGCUCGCGCUCCCUACAACCAGUGGCUGCUCCGCCGUGGUGCACACCACGUGUUCGACGCAAUGCGCAAGCCGCACCGUCACCAUGUCGGUGUCAGCGACAGCUCCAGCCACAAUGUCAGCUUCGUCCAAGGUCACCGGCGAUGUCGUUCCCGAGCUCUGCUGCCUUGACCUUGAACCAUCAGAUGUCCUCGAGCUUAUCAGAACGCCGCCCAAGUGUUCGACAGAAGGUCUAAAUGACGACCCCGUGGUCAUGCAUGAACAGCAGGAGCGCUCCAAGGAAUAUGAACAUUCAGUACAAGAUGCCAACAUGCCCUGUGUGCUUCAUGUCAUCAACAGUUGUGAGUUCCCUGGAACUACCAACCAGGUCAAAACUGCAGCCCUUCGCCCAACUAAAUCAAUCACCGAGCACAAGCUAAUUGGUGUGGAUUCACUGCACACACCGUGGACUCCAGCGAGGAGCACAACUUGUAGAAUGUUCAACGUGCAAGGUACACUGUAUGUUAUGCAGUUAUCAGGGGAAUUGCAAGACUUGGAAACAGUGGAACCUACAGGGAGUGCACCUCUCACUGUGAUUUAUAGUGUUCCUGGAGUUCAAACAGCACGGCUGAAUCCAACUGUAUUCAAGUGGUCAGAUCUUUUUUGUUUUGCCACACAAUUUCUUAGUGCAAGCACUCUUGAUUUAUUACUAGCGAAGCGAGAUGCACCUACUGUGAUUGGGAAUUUGUGCUGUGAGAUUCAGAGCAAGGGAAUAAUAAUAGAGAGACCAUAUUGGCAAUUGAUUGCGGAAGUAAGUUUGGAAGCACUCAAGCUUUCAUGGCUGCCACCUCAAGGUAUUAUUUGUGUACCACUCAGAAUUUCUCUGCUGAAGAAAUCAAUUGGCAUAUCUCGACAAUUCUAUUGGGAGGGUACAAAUUCUUUUGCAGUAGUGUGGGCACUGACUUUGCAAGUGUACGAGCAUAAGAACAGAUGCAGUUUACUAGAACAUGAUACAUCAGUGGUGCUCCUUAUUGCUCAUGGUACUACUAUCGUUCAGUGCAUCCUUGUGCAUCAGGAGAGGUCCAUUGGAAGUUUGAAGAUUGAUAUGUCAACUAGAGAUAUAAUUGCAGCAUUACAUAGGAAGAAGCCAAGGCCUUGUUGGACGACAUUUUUCUAUGGCCACCAGUUACACUAUUCUGGCCAGUCAGAUUCAGUUACAAAUGUUUUUCAGAACCAGCACAGAACUGAAUAUUCCAUUGGAAGAGUCAUUCUUGAGGAUUUCCAGUGGGCACCUGCUUGGUCCUUUUCCAUGGAGUUUUUGCUAUUUGGAGAUGAAUGUUCGUUUGAAGCUCUGUUGGGCUGCCACAUCUAUAGUGCGUGUUUGUUGGAUAAAAGCAUGGGGAUCACUCUAGGAAGCGAUGCAAGCGGCGGUGAAUGCAUAAUAAUCAGUCCUUGCCGUCCCCAAUUUCAACCCGAACCAUGUGAAGGGACUUGUUGCUAUAGCUUUCGUGUUGUAGUUUUUUCACGAGUUGUUCCUGCGAUGAGGCUUGCAUACUUUGAGAGGCCUGGAAUGGGGCUAUAUCAGGAAUAUAUGCAGCUGAUUGGUAUGAUUGGGAGGCAGGUUCCUGCUCUUGAUUUAUGGGCUACCAGAUUGUAUUCCAGCCAAGGGAAACAGAGGGCGUGCAGCUUAGCGCAUAUUCCUUCUGUUUGGAAAUUUCCUUUCAACACCGCCCAUGUUUCCAACGAACAAGUUUCCAGUUCAGGAGGUGUGCUACUCUGA